UACGGAGGGUGCAAGCGUUAUCCGGAUUCACUGGGUUUAAAGGGUGCGUAGGUGGGUUGGUAAGUCAGUGGUGAAAUCCCCGAGCUUAACUUGGGAACUGCCAUUGAUACUAUCAGUCUUGAAUACCGUGGAGGUCAGCGGAAUAUGUCAUGUAGCGGUGAAAUGCUUAGAUAUGACAUAGAACACCAAUUGCGAAGGCAGCUGACUACAGGGACAUUGACACUGAGGCACGAAAGCGUGGGGAUCAAACAGG
rnacentral:rRNA from 1 species